rnacentral:lncRNA from 1 species
AUGGCAACGCCCCGCCAAGAAUCUCACAGGGCGUGGGCCAGUCUGUUUAUGAUUAAGUCCUACCCCACGGCAGGCCACAGCCAGGGAUUGCCUCAGCUGACCAAAAAAAAAAAAGACAAAAAGAGGUAUUUGAGGGGCGCCUGGGCAAUGCUAACAUGUGUUGAAGGAGGAAAGAGACACAGAAGGGGGAAUCGCGUGGUACGAGUUAGCCAAACCUCUGGAAAAGCUGGGUUCGGGUCUCCUCAGCCCCAGAUAGGCCAGGAAGACACAGGGACCCGCACGUCGUGUGUACCUGUGGUGCUGUGUGUGCACUGCAAGCUCGGUAGCACGAAACAAUUAAGCUUUGCGGAGUUGGGGUGCACAGCCAGCUACUCUGGACGUGUGUAUUUCCGAUGCAUGCUUACGAACGAGGAAGGGGAGGGGUCCCAUGUGUGCAGAGGUGUGUCUCUAGUUGAGGAACAACACCGGCACAAGAGCCAAACUGCUCGGCUUCAAAUCCCAGCUCUGCCCCUGGCUAGCUGCGUGACCUUGAGCGCAUUCUUUCCCUUAUCUGGGCCUCGGUUUUCCCACCUAAGCAGUGUGGCUAACAGCAGUGAUGAUCUCCUAGGAUUACUGUCCAGGACAGGGAGCCAGACCCAUGUCUGGCAGGCAGUGAGGUGCUCGGUGCGGUUGGCCAUCCUUGCUGACAGUCUGGUUCUCCUUGUGAUUCGAUGCAGGAGUUGAUCUUGUGAACACCAGGGUCCAAACACCAGGGCAGACAUCCGGACGGAAAGACAGACAGGCAGGAAUGUCUGGUACAAGAGUGUUUUCAGAACGCAAAUAGCCAAAACAGUCAUUGAAAAAGAAAUGGCCAGCAUAAGUUUGGUAAUCAAGCCGUGGAGAAAUUUGAGUCAUCUCCUUGGGGCUCGAUAAAGAUCUCUAACUAAGGGUUAAGUAAGCUGCAGGAUGCUAGGUACUGAAUAUGCUGUUUUGUUUUAGAGCGGAGAUAUAUUUGCACAGCAAAUUUCUAGAAGGCAUAGAAAAAAAAACCCGAGGAUUCAGGGGUGAGCAAUGUGGCUCUUUCACUGUAUAUGCUUUUGCCCGCUUGCAUUUUCCAUGUGCUACUGUUUUGCUUUGUUUUGGUUUUUUAAUGUUAAGUACGGAAUUGUGGUCAGGUGUGCACACACGUAGAAAGAAACCAGUAGCCGGAGCUGAAGAAGGGAAAAUUUAGCACCAGUGACAUCAAAGGCAGGAAAUGGUGUUUCCCUGCUAAGGGCAGUAGAAGGACACAGGGAUGGGGAAGACCCAGGCAGACCAGGGCGAACCCCUACAACCCCUCGGAGGGGCCUGGCAGGAGAAGCCAGAUCAUUCUGCUGGGAAGCAAGCCUUCCCACCCCAGAAAGGAAGUCCCAGCAGGGCCACCACCUGGAGGGACUCUCCAGCUCGUCCAGGAAGGCAGCCACAAGGCAGACAGACAUAGGGGUACAGUAGAUACCUCCGUUCAAGUCACACACAGUCAUACAAACCGAGACACAAAUCACGGCACACACAGACACACCAUAUGGACACACACACAGACACACACUGAGACACAUACCUGGACACAUAACCGUAGGUACACAAGAGCAGCGACCAAAGCUAACCACAGGCCCACACAAGGACAUGCCCGUGGCUAUGGUCACACACACCCACUCACACAUAAACAGCUUCCGAGAGACUCAAACUCUCCGGGAUGUGCAAUCAGAGCUCAAAAUAUCAGACACCCAGAGGCCACUGAAGGCACACAAGUCACACAGUGACACAAGCUGACCUAGACAGACACGCCAGACACUCAAAACAAAGACACAAACUACAAGCGAACACAACCAAAGGAAGCCAGGCCCCGUCCCUCAAACCGCCCAAGAUCCACCAGCCCCUAGUGGGGGCUUGUCCUUCACUUCCUUGAGAAACGUCUAGGUCCCUUUUCUUGGCCCCGGCACCCAGUGUAGGCCGCGGGCGACCCCUGCUGGACCAGGCGCCUCAACGCCGAGCUGCAAAGAGAGGGGC